rnacentral:misc_RNA from 1 species
UCUGCCUUAUCGGCAAGCGGUCCCAUUAGAGUGCCCAACUGAAUGCUGGCAACUAAUGGCAAGGGUUGCGCUCGUUGCGGGACUUAACCCAACAUCUCACGGCACGAGCUGACGACAGCCAUGCAGCACCUGUCACCGCGUCCCCGAAGGGAACCCCUGGUUUCCCAGGGUAGCGCGGGAUGUCAAGCCUAGGUAAGGUUUUUCGCGUUGCCUCGAAUUAAACCACAUACUCCACCGCUUGUGCGGGCCCCCGUCAAUUUCUUUGAGUUUUAAUCUUGCGACCGUACUCCCCAGGCGGGGCACUUACUGCGUUAGCUGCGACGCUGAAGGGACAAGGUCCCCCAACAUCUAGUGCCCACCGUUUACGGCGUGGACUAC